CCAGGGCAAUUUGAUAAGGUAGGUGAAGGGUGUUACUACCCUUUGCUCUCUCAUUGCAAUUGAAAGCAUUCCUGGAUUUUAGGUGGACUCCACUGGCUACCUUGGUGAGCAUAGAAUCAUCCUUUUUGUUAUCAAAAGAAGAUGCUAUUUAAUUUGAGGAACCUGUUGAACAACGUGAUUCUUAGAAAUGGUCACCAUCUCGUGGUUCGAAAUUUUCGCUGUGGACAACCACUACAAAACAAAGUACAGCUGAAAGGUCGUGACCUUCUCACUCUGAAGAACUUUACAGGAGAAGAAAUCAAGUAUAUGCUGUGGCUAUCAGCAGAUCUGAAAUUUAGGAUAAAACAGAAAGGAGAGUAUGUGCCCUUAUUACAAGGGAAGUCAUUGGGCAUGAUUUUUGAAAAAAGGAGUACUCGAACAAGAUUGUCCACAGAAACAGGCUUUGCACUUCUAGGAGGACACCCUUGUUUUCUUACCACACAAGAUAUUCAUUUGGGUGUGAAUGAACGUCUCACGGACACAGCCCGUGUGUUGUCUAGCAUGACAGAUGCAGUGUUGGCUCGAGUGUAUAAACAAUCAGAUCUGGACAUCCUGGCUAAAGAAGCAACCAUCCCAGUCAUCAAUGGGCUGUCAGAUUUGUACCAUCCUAUCCAGAUCCUGGCUGAUUAUCUCACACUCCAGGAACACUAUGGCUCUUUGAAGGGCCUUACUCUUAGCUGGAUUGGGGAUGGGAACAACAUCCUUCACUCCAUUAUGAUGAGUGCGGCAAAAUUCGGGAUGCACCUCCAGGCGGCUACUCCAAAGGGUUACGAGCCAGAUCCCAGUAUCACCAAGUUGGCAGAGCAGUAUGCCAAGGAGGAUGGUACCAGGCUGUUGCUGACGAAUGAUCCAUUGGAAGCAGCUCGCGGAGGCAAUGUAUUAAUUACAGACACUUGGAUAAGUAUGGGACAAGAAGAGGAGAAGAAAAAGCGGCUCCAGGAUUUCCAAGGUUACCAGGUUACAAUGAAGACUGCCAAAGUAGCUGCCUCUGACUGGACAUUUUUACACUGCUUGCCCAGAAAGCCAGAAGAAGUGGAUGAUGAAGUUUUUUAUUCUCCACGUUCACUAGUAUUCCCAGAGGCUGAAAACAGAAAGUGGACAAUCAUGGCUGUCAUGGUGUCUCUGCUGACAGAUUACUCACCUCAGCUCCAGAAGCCCAAAUUCUGAUGCUGUGAUGCUUAUCUUCAGUACCAGAAUGAGUCAGUUUAUGGGGGAAGGAGAAGAAAAUCUAAGAAAUAAGCAAACUCUGAUACAUGCUAUAGAGAGUAGAGGAACUAUUUAAGCAGAAGGUGCCAUGUGGAUUGUGGAGGCUCUCCCUCAAAUUGCCUACAUACAAAAGACAAUCCAAGUGUCCUGCCACUUUCUAAACAGUCCUCCAUGGCAAGACAACUCUGUGGUGAAAUUCAUGCUCCAGAGCUCCGCAUGGGAUCAGGCUGAAGCUGGUGUCAGAGACCACAUCUUUGGUUAGCUUCCCCUACUGCUUAACCUGCUUCCCCUUCUUCUGAGAGUGCUUCCUCAAUAAAUCAUUUGCACAAGAAUGUCCAUCUCAGGCUCUACCUUUAGGGACUCUGAUCUGGGAUGAUCCAUGAAUAAGAUGUUUCAGAGGUCUGUAUUGUACUGUUCAUCCUUCAGGCACCAACGGAGGAGUAGAGAAUUAAGGAGCCAUUAGACAAAUGCUGAAGAGCUCAUGCCUAAUAAGCAAAAAGUUUCCAGUUACCAGGGUCAGCCUUUCUUAAAAGGAAGUAGAACUUUAAAUGUAACAAAUAUUAUUUUCCAGUCACAAGUUCAUAUUCAUAACAAGGUCUCUAUCAGCUGCACAGAAUAGGAGACUAAUUUGCUUUCUCCAGAGAAGAGUAGAUAAGAGUUAGCUGGCACGAUAUUUCUGAUUUUAGUUCUGUGGUGUCUUAGUACCUUAAGACAGGCAAGCCUGGCAGCUGCUUAGUGAGCCUGCCCUUCGCAUUGUCUUCCUGGCUUCCUCCAAAGCUUCUUAUUCAGCUGGUCUAGGUUGGAACCUGAGAAUAUGCAUUUUAAACAAGUGUCAUGGGAUGCUGAUACUGCUGGUCCAAAGACCACACUUUGAGAAUCAUUAGUCUGAGGCAGUUCUAAAGACUUAUUUGAGGUGUGUUCGUCCCCACAUCCCUAAAGCAAAACCUUAAGGCAUUUGGCCAAUCCAGAUCCUCUUAAUUAGUCUGUCUUUGGACCCACUGAGGCCUGGGUUUCAUCCCUCUUCUGCUAUCUAACAGCUAUUGAACCCUGCUCUCCUUAUCUCUACAAUGGGAACAAUAACACCCAUCUCAUAAUGUUGUUGGGAGAAUUAAAUGAAAUAACAUAUAUAAGAUCAUUUGCUUAAAGCAAGUGCUCAGUAAAUAUUAACCCUUUUUUAUUUGAUCAAUUGUUUCCAAUGCUUUAUAUGUUUUUUCUUUGGAUCUUUGUAACAACAUUCUAUCCUGUCAUCAUAAAUAUAUUGAGUAAAAUACUUGGUGUCCAAGAAAAGUGCAAGGAAUGAGCUUGUCUUCUGAAGUUUGCCAAGAACCCAGCUGCUGGGUGCUUUAGGUGAGUCAUUUCUCUCCACCAGCUGGUUUGUGAAUGUGCCGCCCAGGUGAGCCAACUGGCACUUUGCCAAACCAAACCACGGAAGCCAGCAAGUCCAAAAAUCUAACCAAGGUGACUAAAUGCUUUGCUUAGGAAAGCAUGGUGGGAAUGACCAUUUAUAUGAAAUAAAUCAGAGGCAUCUGGCAAUUGAUGGACUUGGGGUCUCGCUGAUAAAAGGAGAAAGAGAUUAGGAAGAACUCAUCAGGUUUUAUUCAUCUCUGUCUGAGGCUACAACUGCUCAAACAAAGGUUUCAAACUGUUCUUAAGACAGCAACUUUCAAAUGUUUUGGUCUCAGGACCUCUUUAUAUUCUCAUAAACUAUGAAGAUACCAAAGAGCUUUUGUCUAUGUAGGAUAUAUGUAUCAGUAUAUAACAGUAAAAAUUGAAACAGAAAUUUGAGAAAUACUUAUUGAUUCAUUUAAAAAUAACAAUAGUAAACCCCUUACAGGUUAACAUGAAUAAUAUAUUUUUAUGAAAAAAACUAUAUUUUUUAAAACAAAUAAAGUUAAUGAAUAGAAGGGCUGACAUUGUUUUAUAUUUUUGCACAUUUCUUUGAGGUCUACUUUAAUAGAAGACAGCUGAAUUCUCAUAUCUGCUUCUGCAUUCCAUCGGUGGUACUAUGUUGGUUUGAAGCAUAGGAAGAAUAUCUGGCCUCACACAGAUAAGUAGUUGAAAAGGGAGAGCUGUUUUAAUAAAUUUCAAGUAAUCAUGGAUAUUAUUUGAUGUUACAUUGAAAAUCCGCAAGUGAUAGCUCCUUAAAGAUUAGUUGCGAUUUGGAAUCUAAACUCCAUCAAUGAACUUUACACACUUAUAUUAGACAUGCCUGUCUUACACUUUGGAUAGAUAUUUUACCCAUGUGUGAUUCCACAUUGGUCAUUUGGAAACUAUUAGCUCACGGAAUUAUGCAGAUCUUCCAAAUUAUGGAACAUUACAUAAAAAAUUUUAAAUUACAUUUCUUAAUAUCACCAUUGCUAUGCCUGAAUGUUUGUGUUCUCCCAAAAUUCAUACAAUGGACUGCUAACCCCCAAAGAUUAUGGUAUUAGUAGGAGGGCCUUUGGGAGGUGAUUAGGGCAUGAGGGUGGAUCCCUCAUGAAUGGGAUUAGUGCCCUUAUACCCCACAGAGCUCCAUAAUCUCUUCUGCCAUGCAGUGAGAAGGCACCAGCUAUGAAUCAGGUUGUGUUCCUCACCAGACACAACCACACUGGCAUCUUGAUACUGGACUUCCCAACCUCCAGGACUGUGAGAAGUAACUGUCUGCUGUCGAUAAGCCACCCAGUCUGUUGUAUUUUGUUAUGGCAGCACAGAUGGACUAAGGCAACUACCUAUCACUUUAGAAUAACAUUUAAGUAUUGCAAAACAGAUACAAAUUUUACACAAUUCUAAUUUUCUCUUGAAAGCUCAACUUUUAUCUUUGGCAACAAAUACUGUCAUCUACUUCCCUUGAAGUGACAGGUUCACCUCUUUCAUUUUUAAGAUGUCUGCAAAAACCUAAGUCCUAAUGCACAGUUUGCCAAUGUUAUUUUUUUUUCCUUUUGGUCAAUUAAAACUGGUGUACCAUGCAAGAGGCAGCUAGUUCAACAUACAGCUCAAAGAAUUGCAUAAGUGCUUUUCUUCAAGACAGUCAUCAUAUUUCAUUAUGCAACAGAAAGGCUUAAAUACCUACUUCUCAUGUUAUGACACAGAAUAUUAAAGAGAUGUGUAUUCAAGGGUUGAAAUUUAAUAUUAAUGACUUUUACUGCUUCAUCAAUGACAUUCACAAGUGAGUCUGGCUUUUAAAAAAAUUGCUUGUAUGCUACAGUGAAGAAUAAAAUGAAUUCUGGUUCUAUGCUUUGCUUUCGUGCUAAGGUGUCAGCGGUUUUACUUACCAUUCCUUUUGUAUCAUCCACUGAUGCUGCUGAGACAAAGACCACCCCUUGUGAAGCAAGGUCCUAUAUUGCCUUCUGGGAUCCAAGGGAGGCCAAAUGAGAACUCUGGAACACCCAUUCCUGAUUAAACCAGAACAGCUACUUACUUCGAUUUUAUCUGUACUAUUUAGUAGCAUUCCUCAAAAAGUUUUAUUUUCUGAUGGAAAAUAAAAAGUUUAUGACUCACUUCUA